rnacentral:rRNA from 1 species
UACGUAGGGCGCGAGCGUUGUCCGGAAUCAUUGGGCGUAAAGAGCUCGUAGGCGGCCUGUCGCGUCUGCUGUGAAAUCCCGGGGCUUAACCCCGGGCGUGCAGUGGAUACGGGCUGGCUGGAGGCAGGCAGGGGAGAACGGAAUUCCCGGUGUAGCGGUGAAAUGCGCAGAUAUCGGGAGGAACACCGGUGGCGAAGGCGGUUCUCUGGGCCUGUACUGACGCUGAACUGCGAAAGCUAGGGGAGCGAACGGG